UUGAACGCUGGCGGCAGGUCUAACACAUGCAAGUCGAGCGGAUGAAGGGAGCUUGCUCCUGGAUUCAGCGGCGGACGGGUGAGUAAUGCCUAGGAAUCUGCCUGGUAGUGGGGGAUAACGUCCGGAAACGGGCGCUAAUACCGCAUACGUCCUGAGGGAGAAAGUGGGGGAUCUUCGGACCUCACGCUAUCAGAUGAGCCUAGGUCGGAUUAGCUAGUUGGUGGGGUAAAGGCCUACCAAGGCGACGAUCCGUAACUGGUCUGAGAGGAUGAUCAGUCACACUGGAACUGAGACACGGUCCAGACUCCUACGGGAGGCAGCAGUGGGGAAUAUUGGACAAUGGGCGAAAGCCUGAUCCAGCCAUGCCGCGUGUGUGAAGAAGGUCUUCGGAUUGUAAAGCACUUUAAGUUGGGAGGAAGGGCAGUAAGUUAAUACCUUGCUGUUUUGACGUUACCAACAGAAUAAGCACCGGCUAACUUCGUG
rnacentral:rRNA from 1 species